UCCAGCUUGUCACCGGCAGUCUCCCUAGAGUUCCCAACUUCACUUGAUGGCAACUAGGGACAAGGGUUGCGCUCGUUACGGGACUUAACCCAACAUCUCACGACACGAGCUGACGACAGCCAUGCAGCACCUGUCUCUCGGUUCCCGAAGGCACUCCCGCAUCUCUGCAGGAUUCCGAGGAUGUCAAGACCAGGUAAGGUUCUUCGCGUUGCAUCGAAUUAAACCACAUGCUCCACCGCUUGUGCGAGCCCCCGUCAAUUCCUUUGAGUUUUAACCUUGCGGCCGUACUCCCCAGGCGGAGAACUUAUCGCGUUUGCUUCGAUACUAAUGAGUUAUACCUCACCAACAUCUAGUUCUCAUCGUUUACAGCGUGGACUAC
rnacentral:misc_RNA from 1 species